UGGGGCCUGUGAUGAUUAAAACAUUUUGCCUACAUUGUCUGAUGUUUAUUCUGAAAGACAAUUUCCAAUAUUCUGAGGCCUCG
rnacentral:snoRNA from 1 species